rnacentral:rRNA from 1 species
AAGACCUUGCGCUUUUGGAGCGGCCGAUGUCUGAUUAGCUUGUUGGUGAGGUAAAGGCUUACCAAGGCUUCGAUCAGUAGCUGGUCUGAGAGGACGGCCAGCCACACUGGGACUGAGACACGGCCCAGACUCCUACGGGAGGCAGCAGUGGGGAAUUUUGGACAAUGGGGGCAACCCUGAUCCAGCCAUGCCGCGUGAGUGAAGAAGGCCUUCGGGUUGUAAAGCUCUUUCAGCCGGAACGAAACGGUUACGGUUAAUACCCGUGACUACUGACGGUACCGGAAGAAGAAGCACCGGCUAACUACGUGCCAGCAGCCGCGGUAAUACGUAGGGUGCAAGCGUUAAUCGGAAUUACUGGGCGUAAAGCGUGCGCAGGUGGUUUUGUAAGUCAGAUGUGAAKUCCCCGGGCUUAACCUGGGAACU